GUUUCUAUCAUAUCCCCCCUGUCUCGUCUUUCCUCCAAGCUACACAUGUUAAGAUCCUUUAACCUUUCCUGGUAAGUUUUAUCCCGCAAUCCAUGAACCAGUUUAGUAGCCCUUCUCUGAACCCUCUCUAAGGUAUCAAUAUCCUUCUGAAGAUACGGUCUCCAGUACUGUGUACAAUACUCCAAGUGAGGUCUCACCAGUGUUCUGUACAAUGGCAUGAGCACUUCCCUCUUUCUACUGCUAAUACCUCUCCCUAUACAACCAAGCAUUCUGCUAGCAUUUCCUGCUGCUCAUUACAUUGUCUGCCUACCUUUAAGUCAUCAGAAAUAAUCACCCCUAAAUC